GCGGACGUAGUGCACGGUGUACCGCUGCAUUCUGUGAACACUUUAGGCGCACGUAAAAGCAGUUGAACGGGGUUCGAAUCCCCGCGUCCGCC